rnacentral:rRNA from 1 species
UACGUAGGGCGCAAGCGUUGUCCGGAAUUAUUGGGCGUAAAGAGCUCGUAGGCGGCCUGUUACAUCUGCUGUGAAAUCCCGGGGCUUAACCCCGGGCGUGCAGUGGAUACGGGCAGGCUGGAGGCAGGCAGGGGAGAACGGAAUUCCCGGUGUAGCGGUGAAAUGCGUAGAUAUCGUAAGGAAGACCAGUGGCGAAGGCGGAUCUCUGGACAGUUACUGACACUGAGGCACGAAGGCCAGGGGAGCAAACGGG